GCCCUCGUAGAUCAGCGGUAGAUCAUCCGCAUCCAUUGCGCACAGGAACUCCAUGUAAGUGGACGAAGCGGGUUCAAUUCCCGCCGAGGGCA